CUGCAGGCCUAACACAUGCAAGUCGAACGGUAACAGGAAGCAGCUUGCUGCUUUGCUGACGAGUGGCGGACGGGUGAGUAAUGUCUGGGAAACUGCCUGAUGGAGGGGGAUAACUACUGGAAACGGUAGCUAAUACCGCAUAACGUCGCAAGACCAAAGAGGGGGACCUUCGGGCCUCUUGCCAUCGGAUGUGCCCAGAUGGGAUUAGCUAGUAGGUGGGGUAACGGCUCACCUAGGCGACGAUCCCUAGCUGGUCUGAGAGGAUGACCAGCCACACUGGAACUGAGACACGGUCCAGACUCCUACGGGAGGCAGCAGUGGGGAAUAUUGCACAAUGGGCGCAAGCCUGAUGCAGCCAUGCCGCGUGUAUGAAGAAGGCCUUCGGGUUGUAAAGUACUUUCAGCGGGGAGGAAGGCGAUAAGGUUAAUAACCUUGUCGAUUGACGUUACCCGCAGAAGAAGCACCGGCUAACUCCGUGCCAGCAGCCGCGGUAAUACGGAGGGUGCAAGCGUUAAUCGGAAUUACUGGGCGUAAAGCGCACGCAGGCGGUCUGUCAAGUCGGAUGUGAAAUCCCCGGGCUCAACCUGGGAACUGCAUUCGAAACUGGCAGGCUAGAGUCUUGUAGAGGGGGGUAGAAUUCCAGGUGUAGCGGUGAAAUGCGUAGAGAUCUGGAGGAAUACCGGUGGCGAAGGCGGCCCCCUGGACAAAGACUGACGCUCAG
rnacentral:rRNA from 1 species